CGGCGGACGGGUGAGUAACACGUGGGUAACCUACCUAUAAGACUGGGACAACUUCGGGAAACCGGAGCUAAUACCGGAUAAGAUAUCGAACCGCAUGGUUCGAUAGUGAAAGAUGGUCUUGCUAUCACUUAUAGAUGGACCCGCGCCGUAUUAGCUAGUUGGUGAGGUAACGGCUCACCAAGGCAACGAUACGUAGCCGACCUGAGAGGGUGAUCGGCCACACUGGAACUGAGACACGGUCCAGACUCCUACGGGAGGCAGCAGGC
rnacentral:rRNA from 1 species